AGUCAAGGAAGUCUUGCAGAAGAUAUUUGCAACGCCGUUUACACUACAGGCAACUUUCCGCAACAUAAGUGUCGCGCGAGAGACUGUCGGAGAAUACUGUCGCAACUUCUUGCAGGCCUGUAUACACAGGGUAGUUUGACCUGUCGGAAGAUUUCUCGCGUCAGUUUAGUUUUAAACGCCAUGCCGAGUCGACGUGAACGUGUAGCACCAGCAAUAAUGUUAUUACUUAGUAAAAAAAAGAAAAAAAGAUCUAUUUGGGUCCGACAAUGGAUCUCGAUACGGCCCGAAUACGGUUAUUUCCACAAUUUUUAUUUAUUAUUUAUUUUAUUUUAUUUUUUCAUUAUUUAUUUAUUAUUUUCAGAUGUACUAGUCCGCUAACUUCGACCGGUAACACGUUCGACUAAUAAAAUACUUUGCGAGCACCCUUUGGAUGGAUCCAAGGCCUGUUGGUGCUCGCGACCGGAAUAAGAAGACAGUGAGAAGAAGGCGAUCGGUUUGAUCACCUGUCAAGCUGUCAUAUUCGAACAAGACGCCAUUAAAUGCUGACGUUCCGAAACUAAGAACACAUUUAAUUACCUUUGUUGAGAUUUGUAUUGUACACACCCUGUUAUAUAUUAAAGUUACUCGUUAAUCCUUAAAGUUCUCGUUAUGCCAAACAUAAAACGUAACAUUGGUGUCAGAAGUGGUAUGCCCACUCGUAGUGAUCACAUUUUCGCGAUUUUCGCGGAACCUUCUCCUCAAUCGACGCCCGAGCCUUCCCUACGGGAGAUGUUCAGCGAUCUCCAGCGGAUCAUCGUUGGACAGAUGCAGGAGCAACGAAGGGAGGAUGAAGCUCAGAGGAGGGAGAAAGACGCAGAGGACCGGCGGAUACAGGCGGCCUUCGAGACACAACUGACCAGCAUCGAGGAACGUUUUCAGGUCGUAUCUGUUCCAAUAGAAAACAGCCAUUGUUCGGCUAGUGGCGACGCGAACCCUCGGGCUGGAGAAACAGUACCGGUUACAGAGAGUGUUAAUUGUGUAAAUAGUGUUCACCCGGCAGUGACCCCUGUCGUCGGGGCGCCCGCCGCCUCCCCGUUGUUAGAUCGACCCCGCGUGUUUAACUUGGGGUACGGAGUAAAACCGACCAUCUUUGACGGGAAAGCUUCGUGGGAAGAGUAUAAAAUUCAAUUUGAGACUAUCGCACGCGCUAACUGGUGGAGUGACAGGGAAAAGGUUACUGCCUUGAUCACGUCUCUAGGAGGGUCGGCGAGGAGCGUCCUCACGACUCUCCCCAGUGUGAAAAUUUCGCAGAUCUUGUUUCGGCGCUUGAAUUUCGCAACGGAGCAAAAAAUCUCUCAAAUUUGAAUUAUGUCCUUUUCCAAAGCCAUAAACAGCGGAGAGAUGAGAGCAUCUCCUCGCUCGCCGCGAAGAUAGAACGUUUAGCUCAAUCCGCGUUCGCCGAUUGCCCGGCGGAGACCCGCGAUAAACUCGCCGCCUCUCAAUUUGUAUCAGCGUUGUCGAGCUCUGAUAUGCAGCGGGAACUGCGACUCGGCAGGUUUACAUCUCUAAGAGCCGCCGUCACCUGAGCUCUCGAAAUCGAGGCCGUCGAGGCAAUGUCGCGUAGUUCCACGGUUGAGUCACGAGAAAGAUUCCCAGAGAAACGGAAGGCUAAACCCUUUAAUUAUUUUACAAGUUUCCCGAAAAAGAGGAGUAAGCCCAACAGACCUGAAGAACGCAUCAACGACGCGCCGAGGAUCACCUGCUGGCUUUGUGGCAAGACCGGACACCUGCAAAAGGAUUGCUACAAGGCCAAGAACGGUCAGGCAUGAACAACAGCUUCGAGGAAACCUUUUCAGGGAAACGGGAAGAGGACGGCGUAAAGGGGAGACGCCGGACCAGGAGUAGCAGUCCCCGGGUCGUCAAGAGUACGAGAUCCAAGAGGCGAUUGGAGGUGCGGAAAUUCCAAAGGAGGAGAUGUACGUAUGUAGAAAAAUUAGCGGAAAGCCCUGUAGAAUUAUUUUUGUCACGGGUUCUCCCGUUAAUCUUUUGGAGCAAGAAUUAUGUCCAUCGAAGAACGUCAUACGGACAAGACUUGACAUUCGUUCAACUACUGGCAAGAAAAUUAAGGUCUACGGGAAGGAGAGUUUGGAAGUUGACAUUGGUGGAUUUUCGACCGUAGAAGACUUUUACAUCGUCGACAUGGUGGAGAAGUGCAUCCUGGGAACAGCCUUUUUGAGGAAACAUCGUUGCAUCAUUGAUCUGUCCCAGAAUCUUCCCGGCAAGUCGAAGAUUCGCCUGAGCGAACCGGCCGUCGAGAAGAAAAAACCGGAGAAGGAGAAGGAAGCGAUCAUUCCACAGCAUUUGGAGGAGCUGUACACCCGUUGCUCUUCAGGUUUGUCAGAAGGACAACAGAAACUAUUUGCUGAGCUACUUCGUGAAUUUCAGAAUGUUUUUGCGGUGAAUUUGAAUCAGCUCGGAAACUGCGACAGGGUGAAGCACACCAUCAACACAGGAGACUGCUCACCCAUAAAACAAGCCCCGCGGAGAUUGCCUAUACAUCGUCGAACGAAAGUGGACAAGUUGGUCAAGAAAAUGAUCGCCCAAGGCGUACUCGAGGAAUCACGGAGCCCGUGGUCUUCUCCCAUCAUCCUUGUGUAGAAGAAGGAUGGAAGUUUGCGAUUCUGCGUAGAUUUUCGACGACUGAACGAGAUCACGAAAAAGGACUCGUACCCCCUUCCCCGCAUCGAGGAUACCCUGGAUGCACUCGCUGGAUCAUUGUGGUUUUCUACCGUAAACUUGCAGAGCGGAUACUGGCAGAUCUCUAUGGACGAGAAGGAUCGGGAAAAAACUGCUUUUUCGGUAGGAACAGGACUGUGGCAGUUCAAUGUGAUGCCCUUUGGAUUAUGUAACGCCCCUGCAAGUUUCGAACGUCUGAUGGAGGAACUACUUCAAAAUGUAACUUGGAAGAUUUGUCUAGUAUAUUUAGACGACAUCAUUAUCUACGGAACUGAUAUCGAGCAAGAGCUCGAACGCCUUCGAACAGUGUUCUCACGUCUACGUCAGGCCGGACUAUUAAUGAGCCCCAAAAAAUGCUCUUUCUUCUGUCGGAAAGUGAAGUAUCUGGGACACAUCGUCAGCGAGAGUAGAGUCAAGACGGAUCCAGAAAAGAUCAAGGCAAUUUCGAAAUGGCCAAAGCCGAAGAAUGUUACGGAAUUGAGAAGUUUCUUAGGAUUGUGCACUUAUUACAGGAAAUUUGUAAAGGAUUUCUCCAGGAUCGCCAAGCCUCUACAUCGCCUCACCGAGGCCAAACAGAAUUUUCUCUGGACCGAAGAUUUCCAAGAAGUUUUCCAGGAAUUGAAGAGGAGACUGUCUGGGACCCCGGUCUUAGCCAGUCCUCGACCCAGCAGUCGAGAAGGAUUUUAUUCUGGACACGAACGUUUCUAAUUUCGCUAUAGGAGGCGUCCUUUCCCAGAAACAUGAAGGACAGGAAAAGGUCGUGGCUUAUUUUUCCAUAACCUUAGGGAAGGCGGAGAGGAACUACUGUGUCACCCGAAGAGAAUUACUGGCAGUGGUAAAAUCUAUUGAAUAUUUCUGUCCGAUCCAGUGUCCAGAAAGGCGCGGACUUCCAGAAGUUCCGCAGAAUGCGCCUCCACUUUCACCUUGGCCGUCGCGAGGAGAGCUGUGGGUCGCACUGAAACAGAGCACGCGAAGGACGAUGCCACAUUUUGAAGGUCGGCGUCCGGAGUUGACGAAGUCGAUGGUUCCUCCUUCCGCUGCGUCGCGUUCGUUGACAGAACUGCCAUCGCCUCGUGGAGCAGCGUGUGAUGUCGUUUGCUACACAGUAAGUAAACUCGAACGGACGGGCACUUCGCGACAUCAUGACCCACGGCGGUGCAUUCCUUGACGGUGCAGGGUGCAACAGCAGAUCGCUCGCGAGGGCGGGAUCCAGCGCCUGGAUGCGGUUUUCCAGGAAGGAAGACAGUUGUUCGAAGGACGGCACGUCGCGCGUAUUCGUGAGAGAGGUCUCCCAAGCAAGCCAGUCAGUCUGCCGAUGAUGGAUCACUUCACUGUUCACCCACGUCACAAGAGAAGAAAAAACUGUUCGAGUACACGAUCCGGCUCGAAGGACCAGAAUGUUCGUUCGAUAUCGUCCCGCAGCCUUUCCUGGGAUUAGCUUACGAACGGGAGAAGAAAAAUAACCUGCCCGAAUCGUGGUUUUACCGAAGCAAGUUUUAUUGCUUCCGUGGUGAAACUGUACUAUAAUUAUUAUACAAUAAUAUUAUA